rnacentral:miRNA from 2 species
AAUGGAGGCUGAUCCAAGAUC